GAUGAACGCUGGCGGCGUGCCUAAUACAUGCAAGUCGAGCGAACAGACGAGGAGCUUGCUCCUCUGACGUUAGCGGCGGACGGGUGAGUAACACGUGGAUAACCUACCUAUAAGACUGGGAUAACUUCGGGAAACCGGAGCUAAUACCGGAUAAUAUAUUGAACCGCAUGGUUCAAUAGUGAAAGACGGUUUUGCUGUCACUUAUAGAUGGAUCCGCGCCGCAUUAGCUAGUUGGUAAGGUAACGGCUUACCAAGGCGACGAUGCGUAGCCGACCUGGGAGGGGAAUAGGCCAAACGGGAAAUGGGAACGGGUCCAAACCCCUAGGGGAGGCAGGAGGAGGGAAAUUUCACAAAUGGGGGAAAGCCUGUCCGAGCAACGCCGGGGGAGGGAUGAAGGUCUUCGGAUCGUAAAACCUUGUUAUUAGGGAAAAACAAAUGUGGAAAUUACCAUGGACCUUUUGACUGUACCUAAUAAGAAAGCCCCGGCUAACUACGU
rnacentral:rRNA from 1 species